rnacentral:lncRNA from 10 species
CCUCACCACGGAGGAUGUGCAAAGUACAACACGUGACCCCGGAGACGGAAGCUCUUCUCUACCUCCGUAAAGAUGAUCUCUGAUGAACAGACAUGAUCAUGCCUGGAGAACAGGGAUGGACAGUCCCGCUUCUGAAAGACCCUGUCUGGCUGAUGAUUCAUGGUGCGCCGGGCAGACCCCAGGCCAAGAGACCCCACCCACAGUACCUGAGUGCUCAGCUGGGAACCAGACCAGACCUCAAAACAGGUUUGCAGAAUUAAGAUGAGGAGCUGAGCUCAACACAGCCUCCGCAGCUCCCCAGGGCGGGCCUGAGCCGAGGGAGAGCCCAUGGCCAUCAGGGUGCUGGAAUGCAUGUCACACUGCAUUACGUGCAUUACGAUCCACGCUGCAAUGACAGCCCAGAGCGUGGAGAACCCAGAGAGGGUGGGGAGAUGGAAUCCCGGCGAGCCAGCGCUGGCAGGGACCACGGGGAGCAGCUGGUCCAGCCGCCGGUUUUCCAAGAGAGAAGACUAAGAAGUGAGUCACUUGCCCACAGCCACAGAGAGAAGGAGGGCAACGAGGCCGGCAGGUCAGCAGCGAGCAGUUAGUUCAAGGCCUUGAGGGCUUCCACUAACUUUGAAGGGCGAGGAUGGGCGGAGCUCUGGAGGCCGCCGGGACCAGCCCCCCAGCAUUGACCUGGAUGCCUGCCACAGCCUCCUCCCUGGUCUCCGGCCUCCCACCUCUGCUCCUCGGUCUCCUCUACCCAGCCAGUAACUGCAGAGAGCACUAAAGCACAGUCCUGGCAUCUCACCCCCUUAACCCUGGCCACGGCUUCCCAGUGCCUCCAAGAUAAAGCACCAACACCUGAGGACAGCAGCUUGUUUUGAGAGUCCCCUCCAUUGAAACACGCACAUCUAAUUUGUCCUUCAGUUCGCUGGACUCCACGCUGAACGUGCCAUGCUCCAUUGCCCCGUGAGUAACUCCAUGCUCUUGCCGGUUUCAC